AAAGGGGAAGAAGAAGAAGAGAAAAAGAGGGAAAUUAGAAGGGAAAUAGAAAGGAAUUGAAGAAAAUAAGUUAAAAGUGUAAGAUUUAUGCUUUAAUGUGUAUAAUAUGUUAUUUGAACUUUAAAUUUUGGUUUUGAUGAAUGUUAGGGUUUUGAAGAUUAUGUUUUGGGUUUGAUUGAUGAAUUAAUUUGAAUGUUAGGGUUUGAUUGUCGUGGGUAAUUGAUUAUUUAGUUGAUUAUGAAAGAUUUUGAUGAUUUUGAGUUAUGAAUUGUGUAAAUGGUAAAUUUUGAGUUAGAAAUUUGGAAAGAACAGUAGAUUUUCUUUUUAAAUUCUGGGUUGGAGGUUGAAGAUGACGAAAAUUCAAUUUGGUCCCUCAAUUUGCGAAAUUACAGUUUAGUCCCCAAACUUUGGACAAUUACAAAUUGGUCCCUGGAGCAUAUUCCGAGAUUCUGAACAGAAUAAAAUAUGAAUUAUGGGCAGAAUUAAAGUAUAUUUAUGAAUUUUAAACACUUUCAAUUUGGUCCUCCAAUUUGACAAAAAUUACCAUUUGACCCUAAAAAUUUGGUAAAAUUCCAGAAUGAUCCCUGGAGCAUAAUGAGAUAUUCUGGACAGAAUUGAGGAUUAAUUAUGGUCAGAAUUUCAUUAUAUUCAUGGAUUUAUGACAAAUUUUAGUUUGGUCCUCCAUUUGAUAAAAAUUACAAUUUGACCCUAAAAAUUUGAAAAAUUCGAGAAUGGUCCUUGGAGCAUAAAUAGAGGUUCUGGACAGAAACGAGGGUGAAUUAUGGACAUAAUUCCACUAUAGUCAUGAAUUUAUGAUAUAUUUAGUUUGGUCCUCCAAUUAGACGAAAAUUACAAUUUGGCCCUAAAAAUAUGAUAAAUUCCAGAUUGGUCCCUAGCUGCAAUAUUAGCCUUUUCAGAUUGGUUUGAUGAAUAAAUGAUGGUUAUUUAGUGAAUUAUUAUCAAGUCUUAUUAUUUUUUUUUAUUAUGGAUUAGAUUUCGGGAAAGCCGUUAAUUUUUGAGUUUUUAGGAAAAUUGACUAGUUAGUUUAAAAACAUAUAGGGUUACGGAAUACACCUUUAGUUAAGUGUAUUAAAUAGGUUAAAUAUUCUUUUGAGUCGUUCUUGAAUAUGUUUCCUUUGUAUUCAGAUAAUCCUGAUAUUCUACCAGCGGGAUGUCAGUAGGAUUUUCUUCGAUGUUUGCCUUUGACUUCUGUUUGCUUUCGAGUCAGGUGAGUGGAUAAUUUUCCAUAUGCAUGAGAAGUAUUAUAAAUAUUUGAUUUGUUAAUAUGAAUUGGAUCAUGCUUAUUGAUAAUAUAUAUGUUGAUUAUUAUCCUUGUUAUGAUAAAGCAUGAUCAAUUAUUAAAUCUGAAUUCUUGAUAUAUGAACCAGUAUAUAUUUUGAAUUGACUUCUGAAUUGAUAGCUCCUCAUUUGAUUGAUAUCAUGAGUUGAGCUUUGAGAUACGAAUAUGUUUGUUUGAUUAUGAUUAUGAACCUAUGGUAUGUCAGUCAGAAUACUCAUGCUAACAGGGUAGUGUUAGUCUUUGUGCACAUCGUAUCUGAACCCUAGUUGGUGGGGGGAGUCACCAACCUGUGUGGACUGAUCAUCCCACAGUACGGAGCCUCAUGCUCAUUGCAUUUUGAUUUUCUAACGAGCUUUACCUUAUGAUAUUCUUGUUAUGGCCUAUUUGAUAAACCUUCCUAUAAGAACCCAGAGUCAUACUUGUAUAUAUAAUUCUCAUUGUUGUAUUACCUCGUGUGUGUAUAUUGAACGUUAUCUACUCACUGAGUUAUUGAACUCACCCUCUUAUUAUUUAUCUUUUCAGGCUUAUAGCUUGAUAGCGGGUUACUUUUAUUGAACCUUUCGAACCUGCUUUUUUGUUGUAAUUUGUACCUUCCUUUUAUGUCUAGUUAGUGCUCCAAAACUAUGAAAUUAUAUUAACUCUUGUAUUAAGACAAUGAAAUUAUAUUAUGAAGUUAGUUUGUUGUUAAUGCUGCGUUGAAUUCUUAUUGAGUUGUUUAAAGGAUAAGAUUGUAUGUAAGUUUGGGUUCGUAUAGGUAUAGAACCUUGGAGGGAACCUUGCCUAUAUACCGGUCAUGGAUCCGGGAAUCAGGUUGUGACAUUUGUCGCUCUCAUUAAUGGUUUUCUGGUGUUCACAGUGGCUGUUGAGCUCAUACAACAGUACUCAAUUACUUCUGAUGGUGUUUCUUGCCAUAGUUUCUCUAUUUUUGGGUACCAUGCCAACCUUUGUCUCACAAACACUACAACAAAUGAGACCUUCAAGUGGGAAGACUACAUAAGCUGGCAAAGGAAGCUAAAUGAAGCAAGGGUUAGUGCUGCAGCACUUAAAGCAAGCAUCAGUGGGAUGAGCAGUGAAGCAAAGCGUCCAGAGAGCA